AACGAACGCUGGCGGCAUGCCUAACACAUGCAAGUCGAACGAGAUCUUCGGGUCUAGUGGCGCACGGGUGCGUAACGCGUGGGAAUCUGCCCUUUGGUUCGGAAUAACAGUUGGAAACGACUGCUAAUACCGGAUGAUGACGAAAGUCCAAAGAUUUCCCGCCAGAGGACGAGCCCGCGUAGGAUUAGCUAGUUGGUGUGGUAAAGGCGCACCAAGGCGACGAUCCUUAGCUGGUCUGAGAGGAUGAUCAGCCACACUGGGACUGAGACACGGCCCAGACUCCUACGGGAGGCAGCAGUGGGGAAUAUUGGGCAAUGGGCGAAAGCCUGAUCCAGCAAUGCCGCGUGAGUGAUGAAGGCCUUAGGGUUGUAAAGCUCUUUUACCCGGGAUGAUAAUGACAGUACCGGGAGAAUAAGCUCCGGCUAACUCCGUGCCAGCCGCCGCCGUAA
rnacentral:rRNA from 1 species